UACGAAGGGGGCUAGCGUUGCUCGGAAUUACUGGGCGUAAAGGGCGCGUAGGCGGAUAUCUAAGUCGGGGGUGAAAGCCCAGGGCUCAACCCUGGAAUUGCCUUCGAUACUGGAUAUCUUGAGUACGGGAGAGGUGAGUGGAACUCCGAGUGUAGAGGUGAAAUUCGUAGAUAUUCGGAAGAACACCAGUGGCGAAGGCGACUCACUGGCCCGUUACUGACGCUGAGGGCGCGAAAAGCGUGGGGGAGCAAACAGGG
rnacentral:rRNA from 1 species